rnacentral:rRNA from 1 species
AUACGGAGGGUCCAAGCGUUAUCCGGAAUCAUUGGGUUUAAAGGGUCCGUAGGCGGACAAUUAAGUCAGAGGUGAAAUCCCACAGCUCAACUGUGGAACUGCCUUUGAUACUGGUUGUCUUGAAUCAUAGUGAAGUAGAUAGAAUAUGUAGUGUAGCGGUGAAAUGCAUAGAUAUUACAUAGAAUACCGAUUGCGAAGGCAGUCUACUAACUGUAUAUUGACGCUGAUGGACGAAAGCGUGGGGAGCGAACAGGAUUAGAUACCCCAGUAGUCC